UAAAAGGGUGAAGAAGUCAAAGAUGUUGACUUAAAUCAGAGAAGAAAUCCAAGCAAAUCAGUAAAAACUACUCCUAAAAGAAGGUGUCGACUUCAUCAACCGCCAUGGCCUCAAACGACAACGGCGGCAAAAGCUCAUCACUACACCCUAUCCACCACCACCACCACCAUUACUUUUACGUAUCGCCUCACUGCCCACUCCACCGCCCUAUUCUGCAACCAAUCAACCACACUCCUUCGUGCUCUCUCUCCACCCCAGCCCCCACCGCUUCAAUUCCGAUCAUUCCCCAUAUCACUACGCAUUCCGAUCAGAUAUCCGAUGAUGCACGGGCUUGGUGAUUCUCCCCCUUUUUCUGAUACUUGGUAACUGGAACCCUCGUAAUUAGGCUUUCUGCUCAGUGAUUUAAGCUCGUGUAAGAAUCGGGCAUUGGAUAUCGAUUUAGUGUUGAUUACUUGAUGAUUUUCACAAAUUUUACAGUAGCUUGGAUCAAGCUUUAAAAAAUAGUAUCUUUACAUUUCACUUAGUUAUUAUCAUAUUCAUAAUCAUAAAUCAUAUUGUGAUGAUUUUCAAAAUUUUACAGUAGCUUGCUUAGUACAUUUCACUUUGUUCUUAUGGUGGUUUUCUAACACUUUGUGUUGCAUCUAUGGAUGCAAGGAUUAUUGAUAAUGAAAUAGAGAAUCUGGAAGAUGAGAAUGAGGAGGAAGAAGAAGAAGAUCCCAUUUUCGUUCUAACAGAUGAAUGGAGGGAAUUCUUUGCUAAAUCUGAGGCCAAAAGGAAACUAGCCAAGAAGCAAGCUAAGAAGGGGAAGAAGUAGAACUCGGUGCAUUGCUGGAAAACAACAAAAAUUUCGAAGCUCAGUUAACAGAGAUGAUGAUGAGUUCAGAAUCAAGUUUCAUCUUCAAUUUUGCUACAUCAAGUGAUUACAUGUCUUUCUGAGUUUCUAUUCAUGUUUCAAGCUGGGAUUUUUAGUCUUUCUUCUACCUUAAUAUUACCAAACUUUUAUCCCUUGUGGAUUAUUACUAUACCAGUUUUCAUCUUUUGUCUGAAUACAAGAUGAAAAAACAUUACGAAAACUACAGAAUGUCAUCCGAUGCGUGCAGUGUGUUGGUUA